rnacentral:rRNA from 1 species
UACGUAGGCAGCAAGCGUUGUUCGGAGUUACUGGGCGUAAAGGGUGUGUAGGCGGUUCUUUUAAGUUUGGUGUGAAAUCUCCCGGCUCAACCGGGAGGGUGCGCCGAAUACUGAGGGACUAGAGUGUGGGAGAGGAAAGUGGAAUUCCUGGUGUAGCGGUGAAAUGCGUAGAUAUCAGGAGGAACACCGGUGGUGUAGACGGCUUCUGGACCAUAACUGACGCUGAGACACGAAAGCGUGGGGUAGCAAACAGG